AUGCUUGUUAUGUCAUAUGUCAUGACUGUGUUGUUAAUGUGUGUCAUACCAUUUCAUCUCAUUCAACCAGGGUCUACCAGGGCGAAAUGGCUAUCCGGGUCCGAUUGGUAUGGAUGGAAAGCUGGGUCAGCCUGGUCCUCAACUAAGCAGAUGUCAUUACUGCAAAUAAGCGGAUUCUUUGCUUUGUGGAGAAGAAAGCACAAAAUUGGCAACUCAGAGGCAGGUGAUGCUGGACUAUCAGUUGCACCAAGAAAAGGAAGCACCCCACAUACUUUAAAAAGGCUGAGGUGAGUAAGUUCCAGACAUCAACGAGCCAAAUUCUUGGAGUAUUGGAUAUUGUGCUCAACUUCCAACAUGUUUUUUUACUUUCUUUUCCCACCCUUUUGCCAGGAUUUGCAAAGGAGCCUCUAAUGGCAGAUUAAUGACUUCCCUAUAGUACCCUGCUAAGUGAAUUUAGCUUGGGAAAAUACAGACUUGUUAGAGCUGUGUUCAUUGAAUGUCAGAUGGCAAAAGUGGAGGCCAGGCUCCCAUCCCAACUGUGCUAUGGUGUUCUUUUACCUACUCUGAUAAGCAUACUUUAAAGUUACAAUUUCGGUAACUAUGCCUGGAAAUGUUGCGCUGAAAUAGCA
rnacentral:lncRNA from 1 species